rnacentral:rRNA from 1 species
UGCGUAGGUGGUUUCUUAAGUCAGGAGUGAAAGGCUACGGCUCAACCGUAGUAAGCUCUUGAAACUGGGAAACUUGAGUGCAGGAGAGGAAAGUGGAAUUCCUAGUGUAGCGGUGAAAUGCGUAGAUAUUAGGAGGAACACCAGUAGCGAAGGCGGCUUUCCGGACUGUAACUGACACUGAGGCACGAAAGCGUGGGGAGCAAACA